rnacentral:rRNA from 1 species
UACGGAGGGGGCGAGCGUUGUCCGAAGUUACUGGGCGUAAAGCGCGCGUAGGCGGGUUGGUAAGUCCGCUGUGAAAGCCCGGAGCUCAACUCCGGAGGGUCGGUGGAUACUGCCAGUCUUGAAGGUGCUAGGGGGAGAUGGAAUUACCGGUGUAGCGGUGAAAUGCGUAGAGAUCGGUAGGAACACCAGUGGCGAAGGCGGUCUCCUGGGGCAUACUUGACGCUGAGGCGCGAAAGCGUGGGGAGCAAACAGG